GUCCACGCCCUAAACGAUGUCAACUAGGUGUUGGGAGGGUAAAACCUUUUAGUACCGUAGCUAACGCGAGAAGUUGACCGCCUGGGGAGUACGGCCGCAAGGUUAAAACUCAAAGGAAUUGACGGGGACCCGCACAAGCGGUGGAUGAUGUGGAUUAAUUCGAUGCAACGCGAAAAACCUUACCUACCCUUGACAUGUCCAGAAGCCCUUAGAGAUUUGGGUGUGCUCGAAAGAGAACUGGAACACAGGUGCUGCAUGGCUGUCGU
rnacentral:rRNA from 1 species